UGACAAUCAAAUAUUAAGAAAGCUAUACCAAUUAUUGAUGUCAAAGACAGAGACAUGGUGUGUCUGAGUGCAGAGAGAUCUCCCAGGAUUCAUCUAUAGACUAAUCCAGCUAUAAACACAGUUCAAAAGGAAAUUACUCGAGUCAACCAUUUGCAAAAGUCUGCCCACAAGAUGGAAGAGUUGUACUGAAUGCAGAGGGAUAUCCUUUGGGGGGCCCACUGAUGAGAAGUCUUACGAAACCCAUGACAAUCUAAAAAGAUGUGAAGAGCUCAACUCACCAGUGCAAUAGACUUGUACAUAGCUGGGCAGGAGAGUGGGGUAAAUCCUUGAUCUAGGAGUUGCUGCU